AGCAGCCGCGGUAAUUCCAGCUCCAAUAGCGUAUAUUAAAGUUGUUGCAGUUAAAAAGCUCGUAGUUGAAUUUCGGGAUCAGUACGUUGGUCAUGCCUUCGGUAUGUACUGGUGUCACUGAUUCCUCCCUUCUGAAGAACUGUCAUGUCAUUCACUUGGUGUGGCAGGGAAUCAGGACUGUUACUUUGAAAAAAUUAGAGUGUUUAAAGCAGGCUCGCGCUUGAAUACAUUAGCAUGGAAUAAUGGAAUAGGACGUUGAUCCUAUUUUGUUGGUUUCUAGGAUUGACGUAAUGAUUAAUAGGGAUAGUUGGGGCAUUAGUAUUCAAUUGUCAGAGGUGAAAUUCUUGGAUUUAUUGAAGACUAACUACUGCGAAAGCAUUUGCCAAGGAUGUUUUCAUUAAUCAAGAACGAAAGUUAGGGGAUCGAAGACGAUCAGAUACCGUCGUAGUCUUAACCAUAAGCUAUGCCGACUAGGGAUCGGAUGAUGUUAAUUUUUUAAUGACUCAUUCGGCGCCUUACG
rnacentral:rRNA from 1 species